GACGAACGCUGGCGGCGUGCCUAAUACAUGCAAGUCGAACGCACAGUUUAUACCGUAGCUUGCUACACCAUAGACUGUGAGUUGCGAACGGGUGAGUAACGCGUAGGUAACCUGCCUGGUAGCGGGGGAUAACGCUUGGAAACGAUAGCUAAUACCGCAUCAUAUUAAUUAUUGCAUGAUAAUUAAUUUAAAGGUGGAAUUGCACCACUACCAGAUGGACCUUCGUUGUAUUAGCUAGUAAGGGUGGUACCGGGACCCCUAGUCGAGGAUACAUUGACCACCGGAGUGGGGGGUAGGCCACACGGGGACUGAGACACGGCCCAUACUCCUGCGGGAGGCAGCAGUAGGGAAUCGGCGGCAAUGGAGGAAAGUCUUGCCGAGCAGGGCCGCGCGAGUGGAGAAGGUGUUCGGUGCGUAAAGCUCUGUUGUAAGUGGAGAACGGGUGUGAGAGUGGAAAGUGCAUAUUGUGACGGUACCUGACCAGAAAGCGACGGCUAACUACGUG
rnacentral:rRNA from 1 species